rnacentral:rRNA from 1 species
GACUAACGCUGGCGGCGUGCCUAACACAUGCAAGUCGAACGAGUUGUUUAUAGUAGCAAUAUUGUAAACAGCAAGUGGCGAACGGGUGAGUAACACGUAGAUAAUCUGCCUUUCAGACGGGGACAACUCAGGGAAACUUGUGCUAAUACCCGAUGAGACUACGGGAGGGGACUUUCGUAGCCAAAGGUGGGGGCAACCUCACGCUGAAAGAUGAGUCUGCGUCCUAUCAGCUAGUUGGUGGGGUAAAAGCCUACCAAGGCGAAGACGGGUAGCCGGCCUGAGAGGGUGAACGGCCACACUGGGACUGAGACACGGCCCAGACUCCUACGGGAGGCAGCAGUGAGGAAUUUUCCGCAAUGGGCGCAAGCCUGACGGAGCGACGCCGCGUGAGGGGAUGACGGGCCUUCGGGUUGGUAAACCUCCUUUUAUUAGGGUAAAAGGACGAAUCGUGCUAAUAACCACGGUUGUUUGUAUGUUACUGUUGUAAUAAGCCCGGCGUAACUACGUGCCAGCAGCCGCGGUAACUGU